rnacentral:misc_RNA from 1 species
GAUGAAGAACGUAGCGAAAUGCGAUAAUUAAUGUGAAUUGCAGAAUUCCGUGAAUCAUCGAGUCUUUGAACGCACAUUGCGCCUCAUGGCAUUCCGUGAGGCAUGCCCAUCUCAGCGUUAGAAAAUAUUCUCAAAUUUUAGUUUUGUGCUAAAAUUUGGAUCAUGUCAAGGAAGCUAUUACUAUUAUUGUGAUCGCUCUUUGGAAAUUGAUAGGUCUUUGAGUUGCUACUCAUAGAACGUGAUGAAUCUUUCUUCGUUCUAUUGUAAUUCACUCUGGUAGUCCUAAAACUUGUAUGCCUGUGGCAUAUCUUGUAAUUUGACCUGAGAUUGGGUAGGGAUACACGCUGAACUUAAGCAUAUCAAUAAGCGGAGGA